GCGGUGAGCUGACCGAAUUAUUCUAAAAUUGGAACGAUACAGAGAAGAUUAGCAUGGCUCCUGCACUAGGAUGACCUGCAAAUUCAUGAAGCGUUUCAUAUUUUU